rnacentral:rRNA from 1 species
GACGAACGCUGGCGGCGUGCCUAAUACAUGCAAGUCGAACGCACUCUCGUUUAGAUUGAAGGAGCUUGCUCCUGAUUGAUAAACAUUUGAGUGAGUGGCGGACGGGUGAGUAACACGUGGGUAACCUGCCCUAAAGUGGGGGAUAACAUUUGGAAACAGAUGCUAAUACCGCAUAAAACCUAAACACCGCAUGGUGUAGGGUUGAAAGAUGGUUUCGGCUAUCACUUUAGGAUGGACCCGCGGUGCAUUAGUUAGUUGGUGAGGUAAAGGCUCACCAAGACCGUGAUGCAUAGCCGACCUGAGAGGGUAAUCGGCCACACUGGGACUGAGACACGGCCCAGACUCCUACGGGAGGCAGCAGUAGGGAAUCUUCCAACAAUGGACGAAAGUACUGAUGGAGCAACGCCGCGUGAGUGAAGAAGGUUUUCGGAUCGUAAAACUCUGUUGUUGGUAGAAGAAUGUAUCUGAUAGUAACUGAUCAGGUAGUGACGGUAUCCAACCAGAAAGACCAC